AAAUAGAUGCCAAUGUAAUAUGUUUUACAUCAUUUUAUUUGUGUUUGGACAAUAUAUAUAUAAUACAAAAGUUGUAUGUGUAUUAAUGGAAUGUCCCGCCUAGUUCUUUGUCAUCUAUCAUAGAAAAAACAAAAGAUAAAAAAUUUAUAAACUAAAUAUAUGAGAAAAAUAAUAAUAUAUAUAUAGUAACAGUAACAACAGUACGUAUGACAUUCCUUUUUUAAAAAAAGUACGUAUGACAUUCAAAUAAAAUCACAUGCUUUAAAAAAUCAAGAUAAUUUUUCAACUUGCACGUUAAAUUUCAUCUUAAUUAAAUUAAUAAAAAAAAAUGUGUUAAAUGUUAAUAAAUCUAUUUCAACUAACCGCAGCGACAAAUGUUACUAAGACACUUGGGAACUUCAAAAGGGGGACAAUAUUUAUUUGGACAGUUAGAAUCAGCCUCGCAAUAACGAAUUACCACUGCGAUGAGAAAAAUAUAUAA
rnacentral:lncRNA from 1 species